CACCAGGUUGAUUCUGCCUGACGUAGAUGCUAGCCUCGGAGAUUAAGCCAUGCAUGCCCGUGAAGAAGGGAACGGCGAACGGCUCAGUAAUACCGCGAUGAUCUGCUCUGGGCGCGCACUAACCACGGGAAACUGUGGCUAAGAGCCGAGAUUGAGACGCGGCCCUAUCAGCUAGUUGGUAGUGUAACGGACUACCAAGGCGACGACGGGUGACGGGGGAUAGGGGGUCUGACUCCGGAGAGGGAGCCUGAGAGAUGGCUCCCACGUCCAAGGACGGCAGCAGGCGCGGAAAUUGCCCACUCUCCCGCGAGGAGGCAGUUACGAGGCGUGAUAGAUGGACGCACGGCAACAGAGUGUGUGGAGGCGAUUGGAGGGCAAGUUCGGUGCCAGCAGCCGCGG
rnacentral:rRNA from 1 species